AGAGUUUGAUCAUGGCUCAGGAUGAACGCUAGCGGCAGGCCUAACACAUGCAAGUCGAACGGUAACAUGAGAGCUUGCUCUUGAUGACGAGUGGCGCACGGGUGCGUAACGCGUAUACAAUCUACCUUUUACUGGGAGAUAGCCUUUAGAAAUGAAGAUUAAUAUCCCAUAGUAUAAUGAUAUGGCAUCAUAUUAUUAUUAAAGUUUCGGCGGUAAAAGAUGAGUAUGCGUUCUAUUAGCUAGAUGGUGUGGUAACGGCACACCAUGGCAACGAUAGAUAGGGGCCCUGAGAGGGGGAUCCCCCACACUGGUACUGAGACACGGACCAGACUCCUACGGGAGGCAGCAGUGAGGAAUAUUGGACAAUGGGCGCAAGCCUGAUCCAGCCAUGCCGCGUGCAGGAAGACGGCCCUAUGGGUUGUAAACUGCUUUUAUACAGGAAGAAACACUCCCUCGUGAGGGAGCUUGACGGUACUGUAAGAAUAAGGACCGGCUAACUCCGUGCCAGCAGCCGCGGUAAUACGGAGGGUCCGAGCGUUAUCCGGAAUCCUUGGGUUUAAAGGGUCCGUAGGUGGAUAAUUAAGUCAGAGGUGAAAUCCUGCAGCUCAACUGUAGAAUUGCCUUUGAAACUGGUUAUCUUGAGUUAUUAUGAAGUAGUUAGAAUAUGUAGUGUAGCGGUG
rnacentral:rRNA from 1 species